rnacentral:rRNA from 1 species
ACGCGAAGAACCUUACCAAAUCUUGACAUCCUUUGACCACUCUAGAGAUAGAGCNUUCCCCUUCGGGGGACAAAGUGACAGGUGGUGCAUGGUUGUCGUCAGCUCGUGUCGUGAGAUGUUGGGUUAAGUCCCGCAACGAGCGCAACCCUUAAGCUUAGUUGCCAUCAUUAAGUUGGGCACUCUAGGUUGACUGCCGGUGACAAACCGGAGGAAGGUGGGGAUGACGUCAAAUCAUCAUGCCCCUUAUGAUUUGGGCUACACACGUGCUACAAUGGANAAUACAAAGGGCAGCNAANCCGCGAGGUCANGCAAAUCCCAUAAANUUNUUCUCAGUUCGGAUUGUAGUCUGCAACUCGACUACAUGAAGCUGGAAUCGCUAGUAAUCGUAGAUCAGCAUGCUACGGUGAAUACGUUCCCGGGUCUUGUACACACCGA